rnacentral:rRNA from 1 species
UACAGAGGUCCCAAGCGUUGUUCGGAUUCACUGGGCGUAAAGGGUGCGUAGGCGGUCGGGUAAGUCUGAUGUGAAAUCUCACAGCUUAACUGUGAAACUGCAUUGGAUACUAUCCGGCUAGAGGAAUGGAGGGGGAGACUGGAAUACUUGGUGUAGCAGUGAAAUGCGUAGAUAUCAAGUGGAACACCAGUGGCGAAGGCGAGUCUCUGGACAUUUUUCCUGACGCUGAGGCACGAAAAAGCCAGGGGGAGCAAACGGG